rnacentral:tmRNA from 1 species
GGGGAUGAAAGGAUUUCGACGGGGGUUUUGAACCACAAUAAGCGAGUAGCGGUGCGGACCCGCUCUAAACGCCGCAUUUUGUUUUAAACAACAAUAAUACAACUUUACAAGCAGCUUAAUUAAGCUGCCGUCCUUACCGGAAGUACCGCGGUCCGGAUAAGGGCGUCGAUUAGCGGUGCACGUGCACAGGGGAGAGUCGCGUAACCUGUCAUGAAUAACGGGACUACCGUAGAAGUAAGCCUGCCUUGCGGCGUGCUUUGAGGGGAAUCACAAAGAAAAGGCUACACUCGUAGAAA